rnacentral:rRNA from 1 species
AUGGCAUCGCCGUCGCUGUCGCCGUCGGCGCGCGCGCCGAGGGAUCGCCUGAGCGACCUCCCGGACUUCUUGCUCGGCAACAUCCUCUCCUACCUCCCCACCAAGGAGGCCGGCUGCGCGGCGGGGCUGUCCCGCCGGUGGCGCAACAUCUUCUGCAACGUGCACGCCAUCUCGUUCGAGGAGCGCGAGGGCGAGAGGGCCAAGGACUGGGACACCUUCUACUACGAGGCCGAGGAGAGGAAGAGCUGCAGCGGCGUGAUCCUCGACGACGUCUGCUCCGCGCUCCUCUGCCGCCGCCGCACCGCCGGCGCCCACGUGCCGCUGCGCAGCUUCCGCUUCGCCUUCGACGACUGCCACCACUGGAACGCCGUGCACGUCGACCAGUGGCUCACCUACGUGCUGCGGACCAACCGCCAUCACGAGCUCCACCUCGACCUCUGCUUCUGGCUCGGCCCCAUCUGCCGGCGCCGCAAGCGUGAUCGCUACGGGGGCGAGGAAGAAGAAGAGGUGGGCAGCGGCACCGACAACUCGGACGCCGAGGAGGAACGGAGGAAGUGGAGACCGUGGUCCUAUGUCCUCCCACGAGGGCUCUUCUCGUGCACCGCCAUACGGACGCUGCGCAUCAGCAACUGCCGGAUGAAUCUGCCCAAGACCGUCGAGCUGCCGUUCCUCGAGACGCUGAGCAUCACCGCCCCGCGCCGCGACGGCGGGAGAAGCGUCCAGCGGCUGAUCUCGAGCUGCCUCCGCCUCGUCGACCUGACGCUGCAGUCCAUCGACCGCCUCACCACCGUCUCCGUCCUCGACAAGCGCCUCCGCCGGCUCGCCAUCCGCUGCUGCCACAGCCUGAGGACCGUCCACAUCGACGCGUCGGAGCUGAGGUCGCUGGACUACUCCGGCGCGGCGCCCGCAGAGUCGCUGCUCUCCCUGCACGGCGCAGCAGGGAUCCCAUCCUGCACCGUCAACUUCUGCCAAGCACCGUCCUCUGAGUCAGAGCGCGACAGGUUCACGAGGUUCAUGGAGAAGAUCUCUGCCGCGAGGAACCUGCACCUGCACCACCAACACUUGCCCUACAGCUGCUUCGAGGGCUUCCCCUCCUUCUCCAGCCUGACGCGGCUGGCGCUGCAAGGUGCUCUACUGAUCCCCGGCGCGAUGCGCCGGGUCCUGGAGCAGGCGCCCAACCUGGAGAUCCUCACGCUGCUCAUGGAGUUCUCCACGGUUCCCGAAAGGCUCACGGCCCCCGACGAGUCGAGCUUCUCGGUGCCGUGCUUGCGGAGCCGGGUGAAGGAGAUCAACAUGGUUCAUUACCAGGGUGAUGCGCUGCAGAGGAUGAUGGCCAGGCUCUUGUUCCGGAACGCGCUGGUCCUCGAGAGGAUGUGCGUCGUGCUCGUCAAGGGGCCGUUCGCGUUGCAGUAUGGGCUCAAGAAGGAGAUCGAAGGCUGGAUGGUGGCCGGCCACGUCGAGAAGGUUUUCCUUUGA